GAUGAACGCUAGCGAUAGGCCUAACACAUGCAAGUCGAGGGGCAUCACAUGAAGUAGCAAUACGGAUGGUGGCGACCGGCGCACGGGUGAGUAACACGUAUGCAACCUGCCUUCAACAAGGGGAUAACCUGUUGAAAGACGGACUAAUACCCUAUAACACAGGGGUCCCGCAUGGGAAUAUUUGUUAAAGGACAACCGGUUGAAGAUGGGCAUGCGUUCCAUUAGCUAGUUGGCGGGGUAACGGCCCACCAAGGCAACGAUGGAUAGGGGAACUGAGAGGUUUAUCCCCCACACUGGUACUGAGACACGGACCAGACUCCUACGGGAGGCAGCAGUGAGGAAUAUUGGUCAAUGGACGCAAGUCUGAACCAGCCACGUCGCGUGAAGGAAGACGGCCCUACGGGGUUGUAAACUUCUUUUAUACGGGGAAUAAAGUGCCCCACGCGUGGGGUUUUGCAUGUACCGUAUGAAUAAGGAUCGGCUAACUCCGUGCCAGCAGCCGCGGUAAAU
rnacentral:rRNA from 1 species